rnacentral:rRNA from 1 species
CCGAGCGUUGUUCGGAUUCACUGGGCGUAAAGGGGGCGUAGGCGGCGCGGUAAGUCGGGUGUGAAAUCUCGGGGCUUAACUCCGAAACUGCAUUCGAUACUGCCGUGCUUGAGGACUGGAGAGGAGACUGGAAUUUACGGUGUAGCGGUGAAAUGCGUAGAUAUCGUAAGGAAGCCCAGUGGCGAAGGCGGGUCUCUGGACAGUUCCUGACGCUGAGGCACGAAGGCCAGGGGAGCAAACGGG